GGAAAUUCAGUGUCAGUGUUCAUGAGCAGAACUGCUGGUGCAGAAGAACAAAGCUCUCUCAGUUGUUUAGGGUAGCAGGAGUGAUGAGCAAGCAAGCACACUCCCGUGCUUUCAGGAGGAAAUACUGCAAUGAAAGGAGGGAGAAGAAGAGUGACUUUUUCGUUUAGAAAAUACUCACUGCUGCUUCAAGGAUGAUGUUGAAAACGAAGACUGCAACACAAAUGAGGUUGAGAGCGGACAAAAUUUGAUACGAGGAAUCAGUUCCCCAUUGCCACAUUUUUUGCCUGAGAAGUACAUAGCCUCAAUUUGAGUCAGACUUUUCAGUUCUCCUUGUGUACACCCUCCACCUCCUGAUGCCCUUAAGAGUCUCAGGUGGGACAGCUUCACCACUCAUCCCUGUGCCUCCAUCAGUGCUCUCAUUUGCUGGGAUUCAUCUCCAGAAAGAGACCUAAAAAUCCACCAUUACAAAGUCUGCAUAAGCUUAUGGGGGCCAGAACAGCUAAUAAAGAUCACUGGAAAAUGGCUGAUGCAUGUGUGCUGCCACUGUGCCUACCACUGUCUCUGCUGGCCUUUGAGAGGUGCUGGGAGAGCACAACAGCUGCUGGUGGAGAAAAGCAAGAGAAGAGAAAGGAUGCAUCUGCCAGGAAGAGAUGCAGUCAUGACUCUGGCUUGGUGUGAUAAACAACAUGUGCUGCUCAAAGAUCUGGCUGUGACAGGCCAUAUUCCCCCAAUCUCUCUCCAACUUGAAGAUCCUUCUGCUGUGGUUGAUGUGAACAACUCUCAUUUUUUUUAUCACCUCCGUGCAAUUGUGGUCUACUGGAUUGCAAAUGUGGUUAGAAACAGGAACAUUUCAGGGUUGGAAAGAGUGAUCUAGGAUUUUUAAGAUACCAGAAGUUCCUGAUCUCUUUUGUAUAGAUAAUGUCAAUGUUUAUAUAUGUAUAAGUGAUAACAGGGAGGUUGGAGAAACAGUGGGAUUCUGAGUUGGGAUAGAAGGGGUUUGCUGUGAGGUGGGGGCUUCUGAAAUGGCAGAGACUUGCGGUCAUAGUCUGGAGAAGAUGGAUGCCCUGACUUGAAGAGUAUUGCCACCAUCUGGAGCAGGAAAUCAUACUGGGUUUGAGAUGUGGAACAGAAGAGAGAGAAAAUCUGCCUCACAAGGGACUGAAUUUAUUUUAGGGACUUGAAGGACUGAAGCAACUUAUUUCACAUGACUGUCCCUCCCCCAUCCCGUGCUCAUGACUGCAUGUAACAGUCAUUUUUGCUGAUGGAAAUGUAGCUGCUCUAUUUUCUGUCCCACUGUCAUCUCCUUGUCUUUUUUCUUGUCCAUGUAGUACCAUAUACCCUAUGGCAUCAUAUAAUUAAAAUAGGUGAUUAUGCAGAUGCAAAUGGAUCCCUAAGGAAACUUAGCACAUGGACAUAACACCACAGGCAAAUUUUAACUAAUUAUGAAGCUAUAAAGAAGUUUUGUCUUUUUAAAAUUAAAAACAUUUUACCUUUUUUCCCCUUCUUUUUAAUGCUAAGAGCUUAACAUUUUCCUCUGCAGGUAAACUCUAAAAUGGAAGAGAAGGAUUCAUGUGUAACACAGAGUACCUUAUAGAAGUGAAGGCUGAAGCUUUUUGGGUUUAGAAACCUCUGGAAAGCACAAAAUCUUUCCUCCCAUUUGCAACACCCCUCUCCCUGCACGCAGAGUGCAACCCCUGGUGUCGGUCUCUUCUCCCAGGAGCCAGCAGUAGGACAAGAGGGCAUGGUCUUAAACUGUGCCAGAGGAAGUUUAGGUUGGAUAUUAGGACGAAUUUUUUUACAGAGAGAGUGAUCAGGCAUUGGAAUAGGCUGCCCAGGGAGGUGGUGGAUUCACCGUCCCUGAAGGUUUUUAAGAUGAGACUGGAUGUGGCACUGAGUGCCAUGGUCUGGUAACCACAGUACAGUGUUUGAUCAAGGGUUAGAUAUGACAAUCUUGGAGGUCUUUUCCAACCUGGAUGAUUCUAUGAUUCUAUGAUUUGGCUUCCAGAUCUGUGUUUCCCACCCUCCUUUUUAUAAGCUGUGAAUUUUCUGUCUUUCGAAGCACAGAUUUUACUUCCUUCCCAUGCCUCCAGGGAAGUUUUUGUCCUGUGAGUGCCCUGGGUUUUUAAAUAACAUGGAAACUCCUUGUUUUAUUGUUUCUGUUCAUGAACUGGAGGUUCAUGAACAGAUUCCUGUUCCUCUGUGGCCUCUGCUAAUGCAGAGUGCAUCCCAGAUGGGAUGGUUUUCUCUGCAGUUCCAGUGAGACAUGGCUGUGUGUGCAGGGACCUCAGCCUUCUCACUAGCACUUUUGCUUGUAAUGCAGUAGAGAAGAGGUACCACUUUUUUCCCCCCUCUCCAUCAUCAGCCUGAUUUUAUUAUAAUCACAUAAUGCCAACACUGUUCAUGUUUCCUUGUCCCAAGACUUGCUGGAUCCAUUCAAACACCGUGUUAAUCCCUCUCUAUUCUCAGUAGGACCUUUAUGACAGUAUUGCCUUUCCAAGCCACAGCUGAUCUUGCAAGCCUUCACACCAGCUAAUCCAACCUCUUUUGGCUUCUUUCCCAAAGGUGUAUAGUUCUAAGGGAAACACUCAGCUAGGAUAUUUUCACCCUGUAUCAGUGGAUCCAGAAUUUCUUCUUUUCUUAUCUACAGGGCUGUUCAUUCCUCUCCAUUGCUAGCAGCAAUGAGAGAUAGAUACUAUUUCCAGGAUAUAAUAUUUGUAAGGGAAAUAAAAAGGAAAUAAGGAACCUUAACCAAAGCUGCCUGCAUUUUCUAUCUGUACGCAUAAGUCAGGUAGAGCUGCCCUGACAUCUGUGCUGCUGAUUAAGGAAUAGCAUGUUAUGUAAAAAGCAGUACAUAGACCUCUCUGGGAGUGAUCUUGCAGUGAAGCAGGAGGUACCACACGUGUGGAAGGAUCAAGGCCACUGGUGCCUGAAGCAGAGACUGUAUGGACAGCAUCUCCGACAGCAUUCCUUAGAGCAGCUUCAAGAACUCUGGCAGAUCAUUGCAGAACUUUUCUCCUUUAUUAUGUGCUGAAAAGCAACUGGUUUCUACACUUGAUUAGACACUAAUCAAGGUCACCCCUUCAUAGUUGAAUGCUCUGCACUCCCUGUGCUGUUGGCAGGAGGGCUUGCUCUGCUCUUGUGCUCUGUUCCUGUUAAGGAAAAAAAAACCCAAAAUAAAAUAAAAGAAGAAAUCCUUUAGCCAACCAUCUGUUGGAGCACAGGCCAUAGACACAAUGCAGAUACAAAUGUCUGGAUGGAUUUUGCAGGUGUGCCCUGUGACCCAUCUUUCUGUGGAGAAAUUCACUGGGAAAAUAGAUUGCACUAGACUGUUCCUGCAACUGCAGUUAAUCGUGCCUUUUCUGUAUUACAGCUACAGGAUUAACACAAACAUUGCUUCUAUUUUCAGGCUUAUCAAAGGCAGCAGCACAUCUCUCUAAUCUCCUAUUUCCCUGCUCUCUUUAAAGUGUUUAAAUGAAUGGAGCACUGAUGAGCAAGGAUGUGGUGCCAGCAGGGAUGGUGUCAUUUAAUGCCUCGCUAUUUAUGCUAUUUAAUGCCUGUGUGGCUUUAUGUGUCCUGGGUGACUUGCUAACCAUCUGGAACCCUCCACCCUGUCACAGGACAGACGGAGGUGUAGACAGCACCUUCAUUUGUCUCCAGUUCAGAGAGUGACCAGCAGCAAUAAAACAGUACAGUUCUGAUGUGCCUGCUCCUACACAGCCUGCACCUGCUGUCACUGAAGGAUGAAGCUUGGAGGCCAUGGACUGGUGACCCUUGAUACCAGGCAGUUUGGAUCUCAAUGAGCUGUGGGCACUUACCUACAUUUCUGUUGAACUGCUUGGCACACACAACCUGGAUUUUUCUUCCAGCUGUAAAAAGCAUAAUGAUAUCUGAUCGGCCCCAGCACCUGUUUGUGCACAGUUAACUUGUCAAAAGGUUUCAGACAAGCUGGAAUCAGCAGAAUUGUGUAUGUCAUAUCAGCUCCUUGUCCUAAGAGUCCUGCAGCUGGAUUUACAGUAUCAUUGAAUCACACCCUGAAUUUUUAGCUGUAUUGCUUUCACAAAUCACAAAUACUUGGGUUGUGUCCUCCAAUCUGCUCGGAAGUGGGCUGAGAUCCACCCUGCAGCUUUCACACCACUGUCAGCUGGCAUUAACUUUCAGUCAUUUUUUCCUUUGAGGCCAGAUUGAAAUCAGUGACCUAGAAGUAAAAUAUUCUGUAUUUUAUUAGCAAGCAGUCCCUGGAGUUGUGCAGUCUAAAUUGGGGUGUUUUCUCAGUGAGCUCUUUUGUAUAUCUUCUGUGGCAAUUGUGCUGUAAUUACCACAAUCCUCUUUUUGGGUAGCAGAAUUUAUUAAUCACCUUCCACUUUCUGCUAUGUAUAUCUGCUCAGAUCACAGUGAAAUAAAGUCUUUCUUUAGUGUGUGGGUUAUGAUAACCUACUGUAAACCAUUAGUUUUCUGUGAUGACGUACUCAGAUGGAUUCACUGAUAUUCCUGCAAACUGGAAUCUGUGUUGGACACUGCCUGUUAGCAAUACAGCUGUGGGAUCUGACACUGAAAAUGCUCACAUCGGCAAGAAUAUUUGCAGAAGUAAGGACUAGGCAUGUGUAGAAGCAUUUUCACAAUCAGCCUUCAUGUUUUUGGGAUCCCUUGUGGACAGUGCUGACAGUCUGCUGGGAGGUGCUGCCUGCCCUUGGCAGUGCCAUUGCUGAAGGUUCAUUUUAUUCAGCAUUUUAAGGAAGUGCCCAGCUCACAUUGUAACUUUACUGCAGUCUGUUAAUAUGAAUAAGUUUUAUCUCCACUUUUUUUUUUUAUGUGUUCAGAUUCAAGGUCAGAUCCAGUUGGUCACUCUGUGGCAGUAUCUAAUGAAUUGCCAGCAUCCCAGAACGUACACAAUUUGAGAUUAGAAGCAACUCCACCUUAUUACCAUGAUAGUCAAUUGCAAGUGGAAGUGCAGUGGAUGAAAGGGCAAGGUAAUGUAACAUGUGAGUGGAAUAGCACUCAAUCUGUGUAUUACGAAAUUGUCAUUCUGUGCCACUGUUCAGCAUAAAUGGACUAAUCUUCAGUUUGAAAAUGAGGAGAGCUUGACUGUUAAAGAAUAGGUCAUUUGGCUUCUGGCAGCAGCAGAAGAUGCUGUAAUAUUAGCUGUAAGAACUUGUGCAUUCUUGGUAAGGAGAUAAAAAUGAUUAAAUUGCACUGCUUGCUUCUCUAUCUUCUAAAGUAAUUCAUAUUUGGACCCGGAUUCAUCUAAGCAUUUGCAUAAUUCCUCAGGCCAUUCCUAUUCAGCCAUGCAUUUCAGCUUGUGCUUAAGCUUAAGCAAGUGCUGAAGUUCUUUUCAUUUCCUGGGGCUUCAGCCUUGCAGAACAAGGUCUGGUCCAUUGCUUUAUAAUGUUUCAGUGGCUUCUGAGGGAAAUUUGCUGUAUUUGUUGUA